GGCUUUCCAGGGCCCUUUAAAUCUCCACGUUCCUCGGAACAAACGCGGAGGCAGAUGGGGAGAUCGAUCCUUGCUUUUCGCUUACCGGGUUUGCAAGCAGCCGGGCAAGGUGUGGUGGGGGAUAGGAGAUGGCAAAUGAAGUUGUUGGCAAAGACAGGUAGGUCUGCAUUUGGAGAAAGCUCUGGCCGGGCUUCAAAUCCCAGAGCGGAGGCUCAAAAGUCAGAUUCGGCAAGGCAGACCCAGGCCUGCGAGACCUGCGGCUCACCCCCUCCCAAUCCCAACCUCUCACAGACUCUCGGUCCAUCUCGCGUCCUCAGCAUCCAUUGGGCUCAUUUUUAAAACAAAAUGAAAACUAAAAGGAUGCUCCCUGGCUCCCUUUCUUCACUGGCACGCGGAUGAUCCGGACAGGUGAAGGCCAAGAGCCUCCCAACGCUGCCCAGGCUCUCCAGGCUUGUUCUCAGCAUCUCCUCGGACCCUCCUCCCAAACCCAGGAGCCCUAGGGUGUCUGCGGAGCCUGAAGAGCGCUGGCGUUCGUCCCGCUACAUUUUCCAGUCGGGCUCCUUGACUACUUGGAGCCCAGUUACCAUCCCUGGGUAUGGGCCCUGCUUCCUCAGAAAACCCCUGACUCCAAUCCACUUCUCUCCACUCCUUGGCCCUGCCUAUGCUCCCAGGCUUCGGGUCCCCAGGAACCUGCAUUCUGGAAAAAGCCCUUCCACCCCUCUUAGGGCACAGAGGCGAGAAGCCUAGGAAACCCUGGCACCGCUCCCAAUCCAGGUGAACCUCCGCGCCUCUCUCCAGGACUCCAAAACUUGUCCCCGAGGCCUCCUCUCCUUGCAUCCUCUUCAGUUAGCAACACACUCUCUCCUCCACCUUUAUUUCUAAGCAGGGCCAAAGGCCCUCUGUUAGGGGGUGGCAGCAACACCCCCACUCUUCUCAGAGCUGCGGGUGGAGAAGCGGGAGGCCAAAUAGGGCUCCUUUUGUACCAUCCGGACUUAGCCCGCCCAGGGCCAGACAAACCUGGCACUGGCCCUGAGGGAGUGAGGACCGGCCUUAGAGGGUACAGGGGAUAGGGGCUGGGUCCCAACACAAACACUUAUUCGUUUUUGUAUUAUAAAGACAUUUAUUUAAUCUAUGAAAAUAAUGUACAAUAAAUACUUUCCCCUUUUCCUAUUAUUAAAGAAUUUCAAUAAAUAAUCUACGGUCUAAAACUUAAAAAAAAAAAAGAGA